rnacentral:rRNA from 1 species
CCGAAUGGGGAAACCCAGUGUGAUUCGUCACACUAUCAUUAACUGAAUCCAUAGGUUAAUGAGGCGAACCGGGGGAACUGAAACAUCUAAGUACCCCGAGGAAAAGAAAUCAACCGAGAUUCCCCCAGUAGCGGCGAGCGAACGGGGAGGAGCCCAGAGCCUGAAUCAGCAUGUGUGUUAGUGGAAGCGUCUGGAAAGGCGCGCGAUACAGGGUGACAGCCCCGUACACAAAAGCGCAUGUGCUGUGAGCUCGAUGAGUAGGGCGGGACACGUGGUAUCCUGUCUGAAUAUGGGGGGACCAUCCUCCAAGGCUAAAUACUCCUGACUGACCGAUAGUGAACCAGUACCGUGAGGGAAAGGCGAAAAGAACCCCGGCGAGGGGAGUGAAAAAGAACCUGAAACCGUGUACGUACAAGCAGUGGGAGCCCCACCACUAAGCCAG